AGAAGCUGGGUUUUUCUAGUUGUCCCCUGUGAGAGUGGGGUUCAGAUGAAUGGUCUGGACAGAAACAAAUCAUACCAUCUCACCCAGGGGACCAACCAACAACCUCCCGAAGAACAGAUGAGGGACGUCCUUUGAAAAAUGAGAAAAUUGAGGCACAGAGAGCUCAAGAAGCUUGCUCCCAAUCACAGAGCUGAUAAGUAGCAGAUCCAAGAUGCAAAUCCAGGUGAUCUGCCCCCAAGGCUCACACUCCCAGCUACUGCACACAGAACCUCAGAAGCCCAUGCUUCUGGCACAGCUGUGCUGCAAUGAGUUUGUCAUCAGCUCUCAAGAUAAUCGUGGCAUCAGACACAUGGAGAUGUUAACCCUACCGCAAGAAUCCAACUCAUUAGUGAGGCCACCAAUUCCACUGAAAACCCUGGAUGCCCUUUUCCAGGAAGCAUCUGCCUGCCCUCUCAUGAAAUAACUCUCUCCUCCCUCUUUCCUUCCCUCCCUCACCAUCCCGACCCACACCCGAUUUCCCAGAUAGACUUCUUUCAAAGAACUUUCUGUGUCAUUCUGUUCAUAAUGUAAAGAAAAAUAAAUUAAAAUAGGACUACUUCUUUUGUCCCAGAGAUUAGUCUAUAAAGAUUGGCCUUUGUAACAUGAAGAAAGGACAGAGCUCAUGAAAAGUUCAAAAGAGGUGAUUCCCAUAUGAGCUAAAAUUUUUAAAAGUCAUGCAGUGGGGAGGGCCAUAUGAUGGGA
rnacentral:lncRNA from 1 species